AUCAUUAUUAUUAUUAUGUUUAUUAUUAUUAUUAUUAUUAUUAACAACUAAUAUUCAAACUCACGUACGCAUGAACGGAACACACAAACCGAACGCCUAUUUUGGUGGAAUGGGAAUCGCUCCACUUCGGUUCAAUGCGAUAUUUUGCUUGGGUUUAAACACGAUAGAAAUUAGGUUUUAAACUCUAUUUUCGUUCACCCAAAACAGAGAACCAACGAGAGAGAGAGAGAGAGCACGUAUACGGCGUAUACGGUACCGAAAACUUUCGUUUCUUCAAGCGGAGUGAAACCUGGGUGAACGUGGGGGUUUGGGAUCACUUAUAUACGACCGAAGGAAGCUUUUAACGUGGUAUAAGGGGCGGAAGUCGUCGUUUUGAGAUUCGCCAUUUUUGAAGCUUCAAAGGUGCGGCUUAGUUACGGACUCGAAUUCGAACGUGUUUAAGCUUGUUCUUGGGUCAAGGGAGGUUAUAUUUGAGUGCAUGGGACCCUAAGGAUUGUUUUUGACGUAAGAAAACGAAGCUUUAACGUCCAAAACGAAAAUCCAAAAUUUUGGACUCCAUUAAAGACGGUACACCGCCAACGAAGAAGACAACCCCGAUCUGCCCUCUCGGACCACUUUUCUUGAUCGUUUUGAGGUCCUGAGCAUUGUGGAGAGCUUCCCCAAUCGAAAGGACGCUUCAAGAGCCAUCGGAGACAAAGUUACACUUUACCGGCGACGAAACCGACGAGAACUCCGACGACACUCCGUUCAGGGGUUUCUGGAGGAUCUUGUUCUCAACAAGGAAAUUCGUUGAGGUGCUCGAGGUAGCAAGUGUGGUCUUAGCAACUGAGGUAAGAAGAGUGGACAUCUGUACACAGGGUGUAUGUUAUGCAUACAACUUGGGUUGGUUUGUUAUUUAAUUUGAUAGUGUUGUGAUUUCCUUAUAUUUUGUGAGCAUCAUUAGCACGAGAAUAAUAUUAGGGUCUUGCUGCUUGUGUGAGCACAACACUUGCAGGUUAUAACAUUAUCAUGGGUGAGUACAACUUAUGGUAAUUAAUUGCCCUGUUGGAUGCCAAGUGUGAGAAUAACACAAGGCAGGGUAGGUUACCUCAUGUCUGAUCAACAUGAGAGAAUAGUUGAUUAUCGUAUGUGAGUAUAAUGUGCGGUAUGAGACUUGAUGUGUGCAUGUGAGAACAACAUGCGUUGUGGAUAUAUUUAUGGAAUGUGAAUUACUGUUGAUUAAUAUAAAAGAGCAAAUUAUGUCAAGUAACUAGUUAGGAGGGUUAUGUCCUACAUAGCUCUUCUUACUGGGCGUUAGCUCACGGGUACUCUGUGUGCAGGUAAGGGUAAGGCUAAGCAGUGAGAAUGAAGAGCUCGAGGCGUGGACCGCAUGUUAGGGGGCUGGCACAGUAUUUUGCUUUUAAUGUUUUUAACUGCUAAACAUUUUGGAACUAUUAUUUUGACUUAACUAGUUCUUAUUUAAGUUUACAGUACUAAAAGUAUUUUGUUUUAAACAAUGAGAUCUCAUGCUUGGAUAUUUUUCAAUAAAGCAGUAUUUGAUUGUCUUUA